rnacentral:snoRNA from 1 species
UCCAGUGGUAGUCAGCUGCCCGUUGCUGCUCAGUGCCUGUGAUAGUGUUAUGCUGCUGGGAGAGAAAUGGCGCUGCCGAGUUGCACCUGGCACCACCGGUGCUGUUCUAGUGCCGGAUGGUGUUGGGUUUUGGCAGCACUCUGCAUGCUUGAGAGUGGAGUAACUCCUCCUCGGUGGAGUUAAUCCUAGAUUGGAUGCAGACAAU